CUUUGUUCUUCAGUUUGAAAUGCUCACUGGGUUGAUGUGACACAUGCAGAAGGCACAGAAAGUCAAGAUGUGGCCCUGCUGGCUUAGGAGGAGAACCCAAAGUGUUUCACAACAAAUCUAAAGAUUCUCACCUGAUUCUGGGAGGGAAGUCCCUCUGGGACUGAUCAGAGUUGGGCCAGACAUAUACAGCAGAUGUAGAGCAUGAAGUUUUCUUUUCUGCCCUCUCCUUAACUCUGCCUCUGAGAGCCAAGCCUGUGCGCAGAAAGAGAGAGAGAGAGAGAGAGAGACAGAGAUAGAGAGCAAGAGAGACUGAGAUGAGCUGAAUUCAUUCAUCGCUAUGUGGCAGGAAGACGUCCAAUCCCCCCCUCUCAAUCUGCC
rnacentral:lncRNA from 1 species